rnacentral:rRNA from 1 species
AGAGUUUGAUCAUGGCUCAGAACGAACGCUGGCGGCAGGCCUAACACAUGCAAGUCGAGCGCUACCUUCGGGUGGAGCGGCGGACGGGUUAGUAACGCGUGGGAAUAUACCCAGUUCUAAGGAAUAGCCACUGGAAACGGUGAGUAAUACCUUAUACGCCCUUCGGGGGAAAGAUUUAUCGGAAUUGGAUUAGCCCGCGUUAGAUUAGAUAGUUGGUGGGGUAAUGGCCUACCAAGUCUACGAUCUAUAGCUGGUUUGAGAGGAUGAUCAGCAACACUGGGACUGAGACACGGCCCAGACUCCUACGGGAGGCAGCAGUGGGGAAUCUUAGACAAUGGGCGCAAGCCUGAUCUAGCCAUGCCGCGUGAGUGAUGAAGGCCCUAGGGUCGUAAAGCUCUUUCAACUGUGAAGAUAAUGACGGUAGCAGUAGAAGAAACCCCGGCUAACUCCGUGCCAGCAGCCGCGGUAAUACGGAGGGGGUUAGCGUUGUUCGGAAUUACUGGGCGUAAAGCGUACGUAGGCGGAUUAAUAAGUUAGAGGUGAAAUCCCAGGGCUCAACCCUGGAACUGCCUUUAAAACUGUUAGUCUUGAGAUCGAGAGAGGUGAGUGGAAUUCCAAGUGUAGAGGUGAAAUUCGUAGAUAUUUGGAGGAACACCAGUGGCGAAGGCGGCUCACUGGCUCGAUACUGACGCUGAAGGUACGAAAGUGUGGGGAGCAAACGGGAUUAGAUACCCUGGUAGUCCACACCGUAAACGAUGAAUGCCAGACGUCAGCAAGCAUGCUUGUUGGUGUCACACCUAACGGAUUAAGCAUUCCGCCUGGGGAGUACGGUCGCAAGAUUAAAACUCAAAGGAAUUGACGGGGGCCCGCCACAAGCGGUGGAGCAUGUGGUUUAAUUCGACGCAACGCGCAGAACCUUACCAACCCUUGACAUACUUGUCGCGGAUUCCAGAGAUGGAUUCCUUCAGUUCGGCUGGACAAUGUACAGGUGCUGCAUGGCUGUCGUCAGCUCGUGUCGUGAGAUGUUCGGUUAAGUCCGGCAACGAGCGCAACCCACGUCCUUAGUUACCAGCAUUUAGUUGGGUACCCUAAGGAGACUGCCGGUGAUAAGCCGGAGGAAGGUGUGGACGACGUCAAGUCAUCAUGGCCCUUACGGGUUGGGCUACACAUGUGCUACAAUGGCAUCUACAGUGAGUUAAUCUCCAAAAGAUGUCUCAGCUCGGAUUGGGGUCUGCAACUCGACCCCAUGAAGUUGGAAUCGCUAGUAAUCGCGGAACAGCAUGCCGCGGUGAAUACGUUCCCGGGCCUUGUACACACCGCCCGUCACACCAUGGGAAUUGGGUCUACCCGAAGGUGGUGCGCCAACUAUUUAUAGGGGCAGCCAACCACGGUAGGUUCAGUGACUGGGGUGAAGUCGUAACAAGGUA